AACGAACGCUGGCGGCAGGCUUAACACAUGCAAGUCGAACGCCCCGCAAGGGGAGUGGCAGACGGGUGAGUAACGCGUGGGAAUCUACCGUGCCCUACGGAACAACAGUUGGAAACGACUGCUAAUACCGUAUACGCCCUACGGGGGAAAGAUUUAUCGGGGUAUGAUGAGCCCGCGUUGGAUUAGCUAGUUGGUGGGGUAAAGGCCUACCAAGGCGACGAUCCAUAGCUGGUCUGAGAGGAUGAUCAGCCACAUUGGGACUGAGACACGGCCCAAACUCCUACGGGAGGCAGCAGGGGGGAAUAUUGGACAAUGGGCGCAAGCCUGAUCCAGCCAUGCCGCGUGAGUGAUGAAGGUCUUAGGAUUGUAAAGCUCUUUCACCGACGAAGAUAAUGACGGUAGUUGAAGAAGAAGCCCCGGCUAACUUCGUGCCAGCCGCCGCCGUAA
rnacentral:rRNA from 1 species